CUGCACUAUGUCUGCCUAGACACUGCCAUGCCUCCUACCUUGACGAUACUGGACUGAACCUCUGAACCUGUAAGUCACAGAACAAGUAGGUCCUCUUUUUCUCAAGAACAAAACUUAAAGUCAUGGGAACAAGCCAAAAGCAUUGCUGGGAACAUUAAUCAGGAGACCAUGAAUGAACUGAGUCAGGGACAAGAAGCUACGGCAAUUACUUCUGCAGACUCUCAAAGGAAUUCACGUUCCGAGAGGCGAUAAAUACCAGAAGCCGAUGGCUAAUCCACUUGAUUGAAUGAGAAGAAAAGGAAGUCGUUUCCUGUCAAUGCUUCUUUGGAUUCUUGCACAGUUUAAGAAGCACCAUUGAUCUGAUCAUCAGCACUGAAGAGGAAAUGCCCAUUCACUGAAGACACGCAAUGCUCAUCCCAGUUUGACAUGGGCAGCAAGUGGUUCCUUUUGUAGCCCUUUCUGUAAACUGUCCCCUCACAUACAUGUAAACCCCUGCUUCCUUCUUUAAGUAGCUACAUUGGUGGUGCCUCUGUUGUAAGGUUAAAGGGAAGAAUAACUAGAGAGUGGUGGGGAAAGCACUGGGGAAGCUGAUUUGUUUCUGCCUUUGUGGUGAUCUCUCAAAAUAUUUUUGAGAUAUUUUUGUUGAAAAGAUGCAAGCAAUUAUUUUUUUUUAGGAUUGAGGACUUAAAAUUCAUUGUUACUCGGGCUCAUUGGCACAUCAAUCUAAGCAGUUCGAGGUAAUGCUGUUGUGAUUGAGAAACACCACCACUGUAAAGCUUUAGCAGGGAGUCAAGCAGGUUAUGACGACACAGGGCUCAUUACUAAAUGUGAAGUUUUAAGGGAUAAAACUUUACAAUGAAACAAGAAAAAUCUCAAGAAAAAGAUUGGGCUCUAGUAAAAAUAAGCCAUGUCUUAAAAGUGGUUUUCCAUAUUCAACAUUAUUACCCUUCACAUUAAUGCUCAAGCUGGUUCAUAGUCCUCAGAAGUAAGAAUGGACAUUUAUACUUUGUGUAAUAGUAAUAUGUUGCACACACAAGUAAACACUUUUGGUGAUCAACAAAGCUUAUUUUUCUCUUUCAAUUUUAAAAAAGAUUAUUUGUAUUCUGUGUGCAUUGGUAUUUUCCUGAAUGUGUGUGUGUGUGAAGGUGCCAGAUCCCCUGGGACAGGAGCUAUGGACAGUUGAGAGUUGUCACUGGGGGCUGGGAGUUGAAACUGGUUCCUCCGGAAGAGCAGCCAAGUAUUCUUAACCACAGAGC
ensembl:lncRNA